rnacentral:sRNA from 1 species
CGCGGCCCGCAAGUGCACGAACACCUGCGGGCCGCUGACCACCACCAACUCUCGACUGGAGUUAGUCAUGGCUAA